GAUGAACGCUGGCGGUGUGCUUAACACAUGCAAGUCGAACGGAAAGGCCCUGCUUUUGUGGGGUACUCGAGUGGCGAACGGGUGAGUAACACGUGAGUAACCUGCCCUUGACUUUGGGAUAACUUCAGGAAACUGGGGCUAAUACCGGAUAGGAGCUCCUGCUGCAUGGUGGGGGUUGGAAAGUUUCGGCGGUUGGGGAUGGACUGGCGGCUUAUCAGCUUGUUGGUGGGGUAGUGGCUUACCAAGGCUUUGACGGGUAGCCGGCCGGAGAGGGUGACCGGCCACAUUGGGACUGAGAGACGGCCCAGACUCCUACGGGAGACAGCAGGGGGGAAUAUUGCACAAUGGGCGGAAGCCUGAUGCAGCAACGCCGCGUGCGGGAUGACGGCCUUCGGGUUUUAAACCGCUUUCGCCUGUGACGAAGCGUGAGUGACGGUAAUGGAUAAAGAAGCACCGGCUAACUACGUG
rnacentral:rRNA from 1 species